ACUCCUACGGGAGGCAGCAGUAGGGAAUCUUCCACAAUGGGCGAAAGCCUGAUGGAGCAACGCCGCGUGAGUGAUGAAGGUUUUCGAAUCGUAUAGCUCUGUUGCCAGGGAAGAACGUCCCGGUCAGUAACUGCACUCGGAGUGACGGUACCUGAGAAGAAAGCCCCGGCUAACUACGUGCCAGCAGCCGCGGUAAUA
rnacentral:rRNA from 1 species